rnacentral:rRNA from 1 species
UAUUGGUCAAUGGGCGUAAGCCUGAACCAGCCAUCCCGCGUGCAGGAAGACGGCGCUAUGCGUUGUAAACUGCUUUUCCAGGGGGUGAAACUCUCGUACGCGUACGGGAUUGACGGUACCCUGGGAAUAAGCAUCGGCUAACUACGUGCCAGCAGCCGCGGUAAUACGUAGGGUGCGAGCGUUAAUCGGAAUUACUGGGCGUAAAGCGUGCGCAGGCGGCUAUGCAAGACAGAUGUGAAAUCCCCGGGCUCAACCUGGGAACUGCAUUUGUGACUGCAUGGCUAGAGUGCGUCAGAGGGAGGUGGAAUUCCGCGUGUAGCAGUGAAAUGCGUAGAGAUGCGGAGGAACACCGAUGGCGAAGGCAGCCUCCUGGGAUGACACUGACGCUCAUGCACGAAAGCGUGGGGAGCAAACAGG